rnacentral:rRNA from 1 species
GACGAACGCUGGCGGCGUGCUUAACACAUGCAAGUCGAACGAAGAGCGAUGGAAGCUUGCUUCUCUCAAUCUUAGUGGCGAACGGGUGAGUAACGCGUAAUCAACCUGCCCUUCAGAGGGGGACAACAGUUGGAAACGACUGCUAAUACCGCAUACGAUCUAACCUCGGCAUCGAGGAAAGAUGAAAGGUGGCCUCUAUGAAUAAGCUAUCACUGAAGGAGGGGAUUGCGUCUGAUUAGCUAGUUGGAGGGGUAACGGCCCACCAAGGCGAUGAUCAGUAGCCGGUCUGAGAGGAUGAACGGCCACAUUGGGACUGAGACACGGCCCAGACUCCUACGGGAGGCAGCAGUGGGGAAUCUUCCGCAAUGGACGAAAGUCUGACGGAGCAACGCCGCGUGAGUGAUGACGGCCUUCGGGUUGUAAAGCUCUGUUAAUCGGGACGAAAGGCCUUCUUGCGAAUAGUGAGAAGGAUUGACGGUACCGGAAUAGAAAGCCACGGCUAACUACGUG